rnacentral:rRNA from 1 species
UACGGAGGAGGCAAGCGUUAUCCGGAAUUAUUGGGCGUAAAGCGUCCGCAGGUGGCGAUUCAAGUCUGCGGUCAAAGACUGGGGCUUAACCCUGGAAAGGCCGUGGAAACUGAAAAGCUAGAGUGCAGUAGGGGUAGAGGGAAUUCCCGGUGUAGCGGUGAAAUGCGUAGAGCUCGGGAAGAACAUCGGUGGCGAAAGCGCUCUGCUGGACUGCAACUGACGCUCAGGGACGAAAGCUAGGGGAGCGAAUGGG